AGUGUGAACGGACAAAUGACAGUUAGUGAAGGAAAUCUCCCACCCUUCCUUGCGCCGCUCACCUUCCCUUUUUCCACCAUUUGGUUGACGAGGGAUGUAUGCAUAUCCGAAAGGACCCUCUAGAAUAGGACCCAGGACCAGAAGAGAAGUCAACACAAAACAAGAUUAUGAUAAUAAUUACGAAUGUCGAAAAGAUAUUCAUACCAAGA